AUUGAACGCUGGCGGUAUGCUUAACACAUGCAAGUCGAACGGAAACGAUACUAGCUUGCUAGUACGCGUCGAGUGGCGGACGGGUGAGUAACGCGUAGGAAUCUGCCUGAUAGUGGGGGAUAGCCCGGAGAAAUUCGGAUUAAUACCGCAUAAUCUAUUCGUAGUAAAGUGGGGGACUUUCGAGCCUCACGCUAUCAGAUGAGCCUGCGUAAGAUUAGCUUGUUGGUAGGGUAAAAGCCUACCAAGGCGACGAUCUUUAGCUGGUCUGAGAGGAUGAUCAGCCACAUCUGUACUGAGACACGGCCCGAACUCCUACGGGAGGCAGCAGUGGGGAAUAUUGGACAAUGGGGGCAACCCUGAUCCAGCAAUACCGCGUGUGUGAAGAAGGCCUGAGGGUUGUAAAGCACUUUCAAUUGUGAAGAAAAGUUAACGGUUAAUAACCGUUAGCCUUGACGUUAACUUUAGAAGAAGCACCGGCUAACUCCGUG
rnacentral:rRNA from 1 species